ACAAUACCACUGCUGCCGCUUAUAUCAACAAGCAGGGCGGCAGCCACUCGCAUUCUCUCCUGUAUCUGACAGUUCAGUUCUGGGAAUGGUGCCUGGAGCAUCACAUUUUUCCAUCUGCAGUCUACAUCUCCACUCACGAGAAUGUCCUGGCAGACCGUCUCAGCAGGACUGCUGUCACGAUGCACGAGUGGACCCUGGAUUGUGAAGUGUUUCUUGUCCUCUGUGCAAAAUGGGGCGAUCCUGCGGUGGAUGUCUUUGCCACUCACCUCAACGCGAAGUGUCCAACCUAUCUGUCCAGGGGUGGCCAGGGACCGGACUCACAGGGCGGUGCACUAAUGGUGUCUUGGAGCAAUCAUUUGCUCUACAUGUUUCCACCGUUUCCACUGUUACUGAGAGUGACUGUCAAAAUUUGCCACGACAACGUGAACGUCAUUCUGAUAGCACCUUUCUGGCCCUGUCAACCGUGGUUUGCGAGGCUCAUGACGAGAGCGAGGGAGUACAUGAGACUCCCUUACCUUCCACAUCUUUUGACCCAGAACGAUGGGGCAACAUAUCAUCCAGAUGUGCAAUCGCUCCACCUCACGGCUUGGAGGAUACUCCCACAGUAACUCACGUCUUAUCCCACUGCUGUAAGACGUCUAUAGACAAUCUUUACAACAGUAAAUGGAUUGCUUUCCAAAAGUUUGCUGCACCUCGUGACUUACCUGUUUCUCCUAUUUCAGUCCAUGCUGUGCUGCAGUUUCUUGCAUACCUGUUUGACAUGAACCUCUCACAUUCUACACUUAAGGUUUACUUGUCGGCCAUUGUGGCACAUCAACCUCCUGACUCAGAGAGUGCGCUGCUCUUUAGACAUACCAAAGUGAAGCAUUUUCUUCCAGGGGCUCUACAUCUUCAUCCCCCAUGAAUCACUCCUAUUCCACAAUGGUCCUUGCAUACCGUGUUUAAUUGCCCUACUUGUCCGCCAUUUGAACCAUUAGCAACUGUUCAUCAACGUUUACUUACAUUCAAAGUGGUGUUU
rnacentral:lncRNA from 1 species